CACAAUUAGACAGCGCAAGAUCCUGAAGGAACCAGAAGCAAAGCUUUAAAAUAACAGCCUUGGAAAGAAGAAUUCGGAAUAAUUCUGCGCAAUUGUUAUUUGUGUCUUCACAGUGUCUAUGAAAAGAAGAGACCAGAUUAAACUGCACCAGUUGUGAAGUCCCUAUUACUCCAAGUGGCCACUACAUCAUUUGAUCUUGUAAACUACAGAACGAAAGCAGGACAGCUUGAGUCUGCAUAGCAUUUUUAUCUUGAGCCAUCUAUAAAGUUUUAUAAAAUGGGAAACGAGGUACCAAGGGAAAGUGACAUGGGCAACACCCUGAGGUGCUGCAAGUGUGGCAAAGAACUGUCUCCCUGUAGGUCCAAUGAUAACUUAAGAAAAGAGACUGUCAAUGGGAUAUAUGUGCACGUCUUCAAUGGAGGAGAAUACUACAGACCAGUUGGCAACAACUAUCACUAUGAGUGUAGAAGCUGCUUCAAAUAAGGCUUAAUAGCUGUGAAGACAGAAGGAGAGAAGAGGAGAGAAGGAGAGCAGAGGAGAGGAGGAGAGGAGAGAAGGAGAGGAGAGAAGGAGAGUAGAG